GACGAACGUUGGCGGCGUGCUUAAUACAUGCCAGUCAACUGAAGCAGUGGUAGCAAUAUCGCUGUGGAGGUGGCGCACGGGUGAGUAACACGUAGGUAAUCUGCCUUCAGGUCUGGCAUAACUCCGGGAAACCGGGGCUCAUAGCAGAUGAUGCAGCGGCUCGACAUCGAGACAGUUGUUAAAGCUAUGGCGCCUGAAGAUGAGCCUGCGUCUGAUUAGCUAGUUGGCGGGGUAACGGCCCACCAAGGCAACGAUCAGUAGCUGGUCUGAGAGGAUGAUCAGACACACUGGAACUGAGACACGGUCCAGACUCCUACGGGAGGCAGCAGUAAGGAAUAUUGCUCAAUGGGAGAAAUCCUGAAGCAGCAACGCCGCGUGAGGGACGAAGGGCUUUUGCUUGUAAACCUCUGUAGUGAGAGAAAAAAAUCCCAAUCUUUGGGACAUGAUGGUAUCUCAAAAGUAAGCCCCGGCUAACUACGUG
rnacentral:rRNA from 1 species